GACGCCGUCCGAUGUAGUUGUUUAAUCGUGUGUACGCUGUGCCGAGAGAAAUUGUGGUGCAUUUUGUAUGCAUUGAGAAUCACAAAACCCCUGGGACCGCGUAAUGUAGCCCGCAGUAUCCUUCGUGUGGUGCGCCGAUGUCGAAGAUAUGACCCUUCGCGCUUCCUUUGUUCCGGGCUCAUGAACAGGAUCUCCUCCUCUGGCACUGUCGCAUCGUAUCGCGCUGUACGGAAGAAUUUGGUGAAAGUUGUGCUCUUACGUCCUGUAGUUGAUCCGCAAUUCAACAGUGUGUGCGCCGGAAGGACCGUUGGUGCAGUCGAUGCCGCGGCACCUGUGACGCUAAAAGGAGCGUUUUCCGAGUACGCCUAGAAAGGGAUGGCAAGAUUUUGUGAACCAGAGGCACCUCCACAUAUGCACCUGCGGCACUUCUGCAGCCUCAACAGCACGGAAAAGUACCUGAUGUGCAUGCUGUGACAAGCUGCUGUAGGUAUGGCUGGACCUGGAGAAGAAGUGUAAGCAGACCAUGCUAUGUUGCUGAUCUGCGCUGAUCUCCACAUCCAAGUUGGUCCCGCGACAGUUGGGCACCAUUGUGCCUUGCUUCAUUGACAA
rnacentral:lncRNA from 1 species